ACGGAGGGUGCAAGCGUUGUUCGGAAUCACUGGGCGUAAAGGGCGCGCAGGCGGUUUGGUAAGUCAGAUGUGAAAGCCCACGGCUUAACCGUGGAAGUGCAUUUGAAACUGCCAGCCUUGAGUAUCAGAAGGGAAGGUGGAAUUCCCGGUGUAGAGGUGAAAUGCGUAGAUAUCGGGCGGAAUACCGGUGGCGAAGGCAGCUUACUGAGUGAACACUGACGCUGAGGCGCGAAAGCGUGGGGAUCGAACAG
rnacentral:rRNA from 1 species